rnacentral:rRNA from 1 species
AGAGUUUGAUCAUGGCUCAGAUUGAACGCUGGCGGCAUGCCUUACACAUGCAAGUCGAACGCGAAAGCGGGGCAACCCGCAAGUAGAGUGGCGAACGGGUGAGUAAUACAUCGGAACGUACCCAGUAGCGGGGGAUAACCUCUCGAAAGAGAGGCUAAUACCGCAUACGACCUACGGGUGAAAGCGGGGGACCGCAAGGCCUCGCACUAUUGGAGCGGCCGAUGUCGGAUUAGCUAGUUGGCGGGGUAACGGCCCACCAAGGCGACGAUCCGUAGCUGGUCUGAGAGGACGACCAGCCACACUGGAACUGAGACACGGUCCAGACUCCUACGGGAGGCAGCAGUGGGGAAUUUUGGACAAUGGGCGCAAGCCUGAUCCAGCCAUGCCGCGUGUGUGAAGAAGGCCUUCGGGUUGUAAAGCUCUUUCGGCUGGGACGAAAAGGUCCGUGACAACACCACGGAUCCAUGACGGUACCAGCAGAAGAAGCACCGGCUAACUACGUGCCAGCAGCCGCGGUAAUACGUAGGGUGCAGGCGUUAAUCGGAAUUACUGGGCGUAAAGCGUGCGCAGGCGGUCUGCUAAGAGAGGUGUGAAAUCCCCGGGCUUAACCUGGGAACUGCGCUUCUAACUGGCAGGCUAGAGUGUGGCAGAGGGGGGUGGAAUUCCACGUGUAGCAGUGAAAUGCGUAGAGAUGUGGAGGAACACCGAUGGCGAAGGCAGCCCCCUGGGCUAACACUGACGCUCAUGCACGAAAGCGUGGGGAGCAAACAGGAUUAGAUACCCCCGUAGUCC